rnacentral:rRNA from 1 species
AUGGGGGAGCCCGGCGGGUCCAGCCCCGACGACGCCGUGCUGUUCUUUGGGGUGUCCCUCGUGCUGGGCAUCGGCUCCCGCCACCUCCUCCGCGGCACCCGCGUCCCCUACACCGCCGCCCUCCUCGUCCUCGGCGUCGCCCUCGGAGGCCUUGAGUACGGAACGAAGCAUGGCCUGGGCAAGCUCGGAGCUGGCGUUCGUAUCUGGGCUGCCAUAAAUCCUGAUCUUCUUCUGGCUAUUUUCCUUCCCGCCCUUCUCUUCGAGAGCUCCUUCUCCAUGGAAGGGCACCAAAUCAAGAAAUGCAUGGCGCAGAUGGUGUUACUUGCUGUUCCUGGUGUGGUGAUCUCAACAUUUUUGCUUGGAACUGCCGUAAAGCUUACUUUUCCAUAUGAUUGGAACUGGGAAACUUCGUUCCUGUUUAGUGGACUGCUUAGUGCAACCGAUCCCGUUGCUGUGGUUGCACUUCUAAAAGACCUAGGAGCAAGUAAAAAGCUCAGUACAAUAAUUGAAGGAGAAUCCUUGAUGAACGAUGGGACUGCUAUUGUUGUCUAUCAGUUAUUCUAUCGAAUGGUGCUUGGAAGAACUUAUGAUGCAGGGUCCAUAAUAAAGUUGUUGUCAGAAGUUUCAUUUGGAGCUAUUGCUCUGGGCCUUGCGUUUGGAAUUGCAUCAGUACUAUGGCGGAGCUUUAUUUUCAAUGAUACAAUCAUAGGGAUUUCACUUACUCUCGCUGCCAGCUAUAUUGCUUUCUUCACUGUAAGAUAA